AGCCCAGAGCCUGAAUCAGUGUGUGUGUUAGUGGAAGCGUCUGGAAAGGCGCGCGAUACAGGGUGACAGCCCCGUACACAAAAAUGCACAUGCUGUGAGCUCGAUGAGUAGGGCGGGACACGUGGUAUCCUGUCUGAAUAUGGGGGGACCAUCCUCCAAGGCUAAAUACUCCUGACUGACCGAUAGUGAACCAGUACCGUGAGGGAAAGGCGAAAAGAACCCCGGCGAGGGGAGUGAAAAAGAACCUGAAACCGUGUACGUACAAGCAGUGGGAGCACGCUUCGGCGUGUGACUGCGUACCUUUUGUAUAAUGGGUCAGCGACUUAUAUUCUGUAGCAAGGUUAACCGAAUAGGGGAGCCGAAGGGAAACCGAGUCUUAACUGGGCGUUAAGUUGCAGGGUAUAGACCCGAAACCCGGUGAUCUAGCCAUGGGCAGGUUGAAGGUUGGGUAACACUAACUGGAGGACCGAACCGACUAAUGUUGAAAAAUUAGCGGAUGACUUGUGGCUGGGGGUGAAAGGCCAAUCAAACCGGGAGAUAGCUGGUUCUCCCCGAAAGCUAUUUAGGUAGCGCCUCGUGAAUUCAUCUCCGGGGGUAGAGCACUGUUUCGGCAAGGGGGUCAUCCCGACUUACCAACCCGAUGCAAACUGCGAAUACCGGAGAAUGUUAUCACGGGAGACACACGGCGGGUGCUAACGUCCGUCGUGAAGAGGGAAACAACCCAGACCGCCAGCUAAGGUCCCAAAGUCAUGGUUAAGUGGGAAACGAUGUGGGAAGGCCCAGACAGCCAGGAUGUUGGCUUAGAAGCAGCCAUCAUUUAAAGAAAGCGUAAUAGCUCACUGGUCGAGUCGGCCUGCGCGGAAGAUGUAACGGGGCUAAACCAUGCACCGAAGCUGCGGCAGCGACACUAUGUGUUGUUGGGUAGGGGAGCGUUCUGUAAGCCUGUGAAGGUGUACUGUGAGGUAUGCUGGAGGUAUCAGAAGUGCGAAUGCUGACAUAAGUAACGAUAAAGCGGGUGAAAAGCCCGCUCGCCGGAAGACCAAGGGUUCCUGUCCAACGUUAAUCGGGGCAGGGUGAGUCGACCCCUAAGGCGAGGCCGAAAGGCGUAGUCGAUGGGAAACAGGUUAAUAUUCCUGUACUUGGUGUUACUGCGAAGGGGGGACGGAGAAGGCUAUGUUGGCCGGGCGACGGUUGUCCCGGUUUAAGCGUGUAGGCUGGUUUUCCAGGCAAAUCCGGAAAAUCAAGGCUGAGGCGUGAUGACGAGGCACUACGGUGCUGAAGCAACAAAUGCCCUGCUUCCAGGAAAAGCCUCUAAGCAUCAGGUAACAUCAAAUCGUACCCCAAACCGACACAGGUGGUCAGGUAGAGAAUACCAAGGCGCUUGAGAGAACUCGGGUGAAGGAACUAGGCAAAAUGGUGCCGUAACUUCGGGAGAAGGCACGCUGAUAUGUAGGUGAAGCGACUUGCUCGUGGAGCUGAAAUCAGUCGAAGAUACCAGCUGGCUGCAACUGUUUAUUAAAAACACAGCACUGUGCAAACACGAAAGUGGACGUAUACGGUGUGACGCCUGCCCGGUGCCGGAAGGUUAAUUGAUGGGGUUAGCGGUAACGCGAAGCUCUUGAUCGAAGCCCCGGUAAACGGCGGCCGUAACUAUAACGGUCCUAAGGUAGCGAAAUUCCUUGUCGGGUAAGUUCCGACCUGCACGAAUGGCGUAAUGAUGGCCAGGCUGUCUCCACCCGAGACUCAGUGAAAUUGAACUCGCUGUGAAGAUGCAGUGUACCCGCGGCAAGACGGAAAGACCCCGUGAACCUUUACUAUAGCUUGACACUGAACAUUGAGCCUUGAUGUGUAGGAUAGGUGGGAGGCUUUGAAGUGUGGACGCCAGUCUGCAUGGAGCCGACCUUGAAAUACCACCCUUUAAUGUUUGAUGUUCUAACGUUGACCCGUGAUCCGGGUUGCGGACAGUGUCUGGUGGGUAGUUUGACUGGGGCGGUCUCCUCCUAAAGAGUAACGGAGGAGCACGAAGGUUGGCUAAUCCU
rnacentral:rRNA from 1 species